rnacentral:rRNA from 1 species
UGUGUCCUAGUAGGUGGGGGGGGUUCGAACGAAGCCAACCUCCCACCCGUGUCUACUGUUACCGCGUUGCUUCGGCGGGCCCACUGGGGCCUCGCCCCGGUCGCCGGGGGGGUUCUUGCCCCCGGGCCCGCGCCCGCCGAAGCGCCCUGGAACCCUGUCUGAAUAGUGAGUCUGAGUGAGAGAUUGAAUCAUUAAAACUUUCAACAACGGAUCUCUUGGUUCCGGCAUCGAUGAAGAACGCAGCGAAAUGCGAUAAGUAAUGUGAAUUGCAGAAUUCCGUGAAUCAUCGAAUCUUUGAACGCACAUUGCGCCCCCUGGCAUUCCGGGGGGCAUGCCUGUCCGAGCGUCAUUUCUGCCCUCCAGCACGGCUGGGUGAUGGGUGCUGUCCCCCCGGGGACACGCCCCAAAAGCAGUGGCGGCGCCGCGUCGGGUCCUCGAGCGUAUGGGGCUCUGUCACCCGCUCGGGAGGGACUCGGUCGGUGCUGGUCUUCCCCCAGCGGCCCUUUGGGGCUCGUCUCUUCCGGUUGACCUCGGAUCAGUAGGGCUACCCGCUGAACUUAAGCAUAUCAAUAAGCGAGAGAUAAUUACUGAGUGCGGGUU